rnacentral:tmRNA from 1 species
GGCCUUCCCUUUUGCCCGGCCGGUCCCUAUAUUCGGUGUGUCGGCUCGUCCGACUAUGGCGAUAAACAGGCGAUGCAAUAAACCGUUCGGACCCGGGGGCGGUACCCGGCGCCUCCACCAAAAGCCGCCGCUUCAUUCGGCGGCUUCUGCUGGGGGCGAAACAGGAUCGACGAAGGUGUAAAGAUCGUUCUUUUGCCCGGCAUUGUACCACCGUUAUCGGGCUAAACUUAUAGUUGCCAACGACAACUAUGCGGAAGCUCGUCUCGCUGCGUAAUGCGGCGCGAACGCUUCAAAUCAAGUCCUAGCGGUUCGCACUUCUAGGCGGGGUCCGGAGGCACCUGGCAACAGAAGCCUCCACU